UUUCACAGUUCAAUCUCCCUGUUUCACUUGCAAAUGCACCACUAGUGGGAACACCUGCUGGACCUGGGGCUUUGCUAUCGGUUGGUGCUCCUUCAGCCACAUUGAUGAAUAGCAAAGGCACAGCAGAAAUAGCAAGCCUGGAAUGGUUGAUGAUGGUAUGGGCUUGAAUGGUGGAUACUCUGGCUCUGCUAGUGUGAGUGGAGCAGACUUGUA
rnacentral:misc_RNA from 1 species